UACGGAGGGUGCAAGCGUUAAUCGGAAUUACUGGGCAUAAAGCGUGCGCAGGCGGUUUGUUAAGUCCGUUGUGAAAGCCCCGAGCUCAACUUGGGAAUUGCAGUGGAUACUGGCAGGCUGGAGUACGGUAGAGGAAGGUGGAAUUCCCGGUGUAGCAGUGAAAUGCGUAGAUAUCGGGAGGAACACCAGUGGCGAAGGCGGCCUUCUGGACCAGUACUGACGCUCAUGCACGAAAGCGUGGGGAGCAAACAGG
rnacentral:rRNA from 1 species